rnacentral:lncRNA from 1 species
AACCAAAUAUGGUGCAGAGAUAAAUUUAAAAAAAAAAUCAAUAGGCAAAAAUGAAGAUGCUGUUAAGGACUGGGUCCUGUACAAGUGAACUCCCUCUCCCCCAGGGCUAUAUGUAGUUAUGAUGAACUCUAUGAUGAUAUAUAAAUUAUAUUUUAUAAUCAUCAUGUCAAACUCUCGUAGUUGUGUCUGCAUUUGCAAUGCAUCCACUACCUGAGAGGACUCAUGAAGUCAGGCUGUUAUGAAAAGCAUGGAAACCCAUGGUAACUCACCCCUGAGGUCAUGCCCUUGUCUACCUUGCUGAGCCUAAAGGUCAUUCACUUAAAACCUGGCUAUCUUCCAACGUAAUUCUCAUCGGGCCAUGCAUGACCGUUGAGUAUUUUUAUUUAACAAUUAAGAAAAACAAGUGUGAGUCAAUCUGAUACUAAAACAAAAAAAGAAAUCAAAUGACCUUGAGGAAGUAAAAAGAAUGACUUGAAUUCAAGGAACUCUUUUGAGCUUCCUGUCCUACUGUGCCUCACUAAUACUCUGUUAUUAUCACUGUUUACUUUGCUCUAAGGAGGGGAGUUGUUGCUGAGAAUCCAGGACUCCUCAAGGUCACGGCAGUAAACAAGCUAAGUGGGAAAGAUUUGCAGUGAUAUACAGGAGAUUCAUGUCUACUCGUGCCUACUCAUGUCUCCUGUUUUAGCAGUUCAUAUCACCAAUUUUUUAACCCCUCUCUCUCUCUCUCUCUUUCACACAUGAGAGAGAGAGAGAGAACUAGAGGUCAGAGGUCAACAUCUGGUGUCAUUCAUAAGAUGCUGUCAAUCUGUCCAUCUUGUUCCCUUGUUUUUCUGAGAUUGUAUGCUUCUUUCCCUUGGCCUGAAUCUUGCUGAUUGUAUUGGGGUGGCCAGUAGGUCAAUAACCUGUCUGUCUCUACCUAGUCAGCACUGGGACUAUAAUGCACCAUGCUGUUGCACAGGGUCUGGAAAUUGAACUCGGGUCCUUAUAUUUGCAUGGCGAGCACUUUACCAAGCUACCUCCCCAGCUACUCUGAGUUUUGAUCAGUCACCUUACUAGACCCCUCCUAGGACAUGUGAGUGCUGAGGUUUACAUCGUGUUGUUCUUUUCUUCCCUAUUACAGAAUGCUUUAUGAAUCUGUAUGUCAUCCUUGUGCAGGGGCCAUGCUAAUCUCUGUAUUGUUCCAAUUUUAGUAUAUGUAUAAGUAUCCAUUGUAUCAUUCUUAUUCUCUUUGAGCAUCUCUGAAGUGGAGAAGCAUUCUAACUGAUGUCAGGUACUCCUGCUUGGCUAUCAAUGGAAUAAUGGUAUGUCUGAACAGCCACGGAUCUUAGAGUACAUAGACAGAGAAGAUAACAGCUCUGGCAAGAAUAAGGAUGUAUAGUAAAGGCAUGGAAACAGUGUGUAGUCAUGUUAUCAGCUGGAGAAGUCACAUCCUGCAAGGAAUCCAUCAGGAAAUGGGAAUGUCCUAGGUGGUAAAAAAUAAAACUACCCCUGCAUGGUGGUUGUGAAUUACAAGAGGAAUGACUCCUCUAAAUUCAUGUGAACACUUGGUCCCCAGUUGGCAGUGCUAUUUUGGGAGAUUAUGGAACCCUUAGUUCAUUGAGUAUUGGUGGAGAGAGUGAGUCACGAGAGUAGAUAUUGAAAAUCUCUAACCUCAUCCCCCUUUCCAGUUCACUCUCUCAUAUUCCUGUGUGUGCUUGAGAUGAGAUCUCUCCACUUCCUGCCUCUGCAGCUAGGCCUUCUUCACAAUUAUGGACAUCUAGUCCUCUGCAACCAUAAGUCAAAAUAAAACUCUUACAUAUGUUGCGUUGGAUGGUAGCAUUUUAUUACAGCUACAGGUGUAGCUGACAGCGUGUGUACACAUGUAGUUCCAGUGUUCUGGAGGCUGAGGCAGAAAGAUGGCAAAUUCAAAUCUAGACUGGAAUACAUAACAGUAACAUGUCACCC